GCCGGGGAGGGCACUCGUGGGCCGCCAGGCCUCGCGUCCCCUUCUGUCGGCCGGAGGAGGGUACCCCUUAUCCCACCUGCUUUCUAAAACGUCCUCAGUCAUGGAAAAGAAUAAAACACUACGAAGUCCAGGCCGUAUUCCAUCCCCUUCAUGGUCCAGCUGGAAGGCCAUCGCUGCACAUUUGCGGGGGUGGGGGGAGGGGGCUCUACUUCUUCCAGGCCACACACAGGCGGUGCUGCCCUGAGACCCUCACCUGCUGGGGCUAGAAUGUCCUCACCUGUCAGGACGAGUCAGAAGAGACCCUCCCUGCAGGUUGUGGUGCGGAAGAAAUACCUGGGCUGGUGGGGCUGGCGGCCUCUUGGCGCCGGCAAGGCCAGACUGUGACUUGCCAGCUACUCUCUCCUCUGCUGGACGGUGGCAUGGCCACAGGAGUGAUUUUUCUAGGGAAUAACUCUUGGCAUGCUUGGAGGAGGACCCUGGGAAUGGAGGCCGAUGGAGUUUGCAGAAAACACUUUUGGAUCCGUCAAUGCUUUUGGUUCCUGUCUCCAGGAGCCUCUUUCCCCUGGGGCCCUCUUCCAUCAUUUCAAGGUCUCCAGGAGCCCCCGGAUGGCUGUCUCUUUCCCAGGAGACGGCAGAAACUGCCGAAGCCUCUAGACAGGAACCCUGGCUGUGGAGAACAGCAGCACCACCCUGGAAGAUCACUGCCAGCCCCACUGCACACGCACCUGUCAGGUCUGAGAUGUUGGAGGGAUCUAACAGGUACCGAGCACCGCUGUGCUGGACUUGGUGCUGGGUGUUUGAUGCUUAGUUGUUCUCAGGCAACCCAGUGAGGGGACGGCCCAGCAGACUGGGGACGAGGACUUUCUUCUACCGCCACGUCCGCCCUUCGUGGAUAACCAGCUAUGACAGUGCCCUGAGGGCGGGGCUCAUCUUCCCGGAGCCCCCACAGGACCUGACACGUGCUGGUACCCCAAUGUCUUUUGCAUGAAUGACUCGCAGGGACCGAGACUUGUAGGCCGUGGACCUAGCUUUUGCCCAGUACUCUGGCCCCAGAGCCCGGGGGAACCCACCGAGAGCCUGACAUCUGCCGUUGGCUUCUGAAGGCUUUCAAAUGUGCCACUUCCAACUCAUUACCGCUAAUGUUUGGGGACACCCUGCAUAAGACAGAUGCUAUUAGAAAACCAAAUUCUGCUCUAUGAGGAAGCAAAACUAACAGAGCACAAAGCAGGUUAGGAAGGGAAGAUUGAUGAGCCAAGGCCCCUGGAAAAUAAAUGAGAGAAGUUUUCUUUGCCA